UCGUGUUUACUUGCCAAAGAGUGCAGCUGAAAAUGUGCACCUCCGGUUGGCCACCAGAACUCAAGCGCCGGCCAUGGUGAUGGUCGCUCUCCGCUCGUAGUAAUCGAUCGUGGCAUCAGAAUAAAUGCCGAAUAUUAUCGUAAAAAUAUUCUGGAGUGUGUUUUAAAACCUUGGGCAAGCAAACAUUUUGGCCGCAGACCUUGGACAUUCUAACAGGACUCAGCCACAUCGCACUCAGCACGCGCCACCCAAGAAUGGUUACAAAAUGAGAUUCCUCCCUUCAUUUCCAGGGCACAAUGGCCACCAAAAUCUCCGGAUACCAAUCCGUUGGACUAUUGUGUCUGGCAAGCGACGGUUUCAUUGUCCGUUUGAAGGCCAUAAUUCGUGCCAAAGGUGACCAAUUCGAACAAAUCUAAACUUAUUCUAAAAUUUGAUACUUUUUCUGACAUUUUUUGCUUUCGUUCAAUAAAAUUAAAAAAAAAUUA